CAGAAGAUGCUGCAUUUGUGAUGUUUGGAAGAUGGUUCCCUAAAAAAAAGCAUAUUAUUCUAGGGCUAAAAUUUAGGUGCGUGCUUCCCUUUAAAACCAUGUGUUCGAUAAUCAUUGAGAGAUCCUUGACUUUAUAUAUGAGAAGAUCAGUGAAGUGUCUAUAUAUUCUGCUGGUUGGGUUUUCCUGACAGGAAUAUUAGCCAAAUCGGAUCUGUAGCCCAAGGAGAAACAGACUGGGCUAUUUCAGGUGUAGUUUAUGCAAACACAGAAUGAAGACCCUCUUUACCCUGGGUGAUCCAUUCCAGUCUGUCUUCAAAACAAAGUCCUAUGAACAUGUUCUGUGCUGUAUCUGGAAAGUCUUUCAAUGGAAAUGAGAAAUGAUUAACACACGCAACAUGAUAGUGGAUGUAAGAUUAACUGCUUCUCUACAUGCCCGCUCUUUUUUAAAUAAUAAAAAUAGAUCUGGGCAACUCCUUAGCAACAGUUGCAUGUUAAACAAAGUCAAAAUAAGAAUUGGCUAUGUUUCUUUUGU